GCUGAGAUAGCCAAGGUGGUCACGGCGGGCGCCUGAAGAGCGUCAGAUCUGUGUUCGACUCACAGUCUCAGCA
rnacentral:tRNA from 1 species